AUGAACGCUGGCGGCGUGCCUAAUACAUUCCAGUCGAGCGAACAGACGAGGAGCUUGCUCCUCUGACGUUAGCGGCGGACGGGUGAGUAACACGUGGAUAACCUACCUAUAAGACUGGGAUAACUUCGGGAAACCGGAGCUAAUACCGGAUAAUAUAUUGAACCGCAUGGUUCAAUAGUGAAAGACGGUUUUGCUGUCACUUAUAGAUGGAUCCGCGCCGCAUUAGCUAGUUGGUAAGGUAACGGCUUACCAAGGCAACGAUGCGUAGCCGACCUGAGAGGGUGAUCGGCCACACUGGAACUGAGACACGGUCCAGACUCCUACGGGAGGCAGCGGUAGGGAAUCUUCCGCAAAGGGCGAAAGCCUGACGGAGCAACGCCGCGUGAGUGAUGAAGGUCUUCGGAUCGUAAAACUCUGUUAUUAGGGAAGAACAAAUGUGUAAGUAACUAUGCACGUCUUGACGGUACCUAAUCAGAAAGCCACGGCUAACUACGUG
rnacentral:rRNA from 1 species